rnacentral:rRNA from 1 species
UACAGAGGGGGCGAGCGUUGUUCGGAAUUACUGGGCGUAAAGGGCGCGUAGGCGGCCCGCUAAGUCGAACGUGAAAUCCCCAGGCUCAACUUGGGAACUGCAUCCGAUACUGGAUGGCUUGAAUUCGGGAGAGGGAUGCAGAAUUCCAGGUGUAGCGGUGAAAUGCGUAGAUAUCUGGAGGAAUACCGGUGGCGAAGGCGGCAUCCUGGACCAACACUGACGCUGAGGAGCGAAAGCCAGGGGAGCAAACGGG